UCGAGAGUUUGAUCCUGGCUCAGAUUGAACGCUGGCGGAAUGCUUUAUACAUGCAAGUCGAACGGUAGAGGGGGCAACCCCUUGAGAGUGGCGAACGGGUGAGUAAUAUAUCGGAACGUGCCCAGUCGUGGGGGAUAACGUAGCGAAAGUUACGCUAAUACCGCAUACGAUCUAAGGAUGAAAGCGGGGGAUCGCAAGACCUCGCGCGAUUGGAGCGGCCGAUAUCAGAUUAGGUAGUUGGUGGGGUAAAGGCUCACCAAGCCAACGAUCUGUAGCUGGUCUGAGAGGACGACCAGCCACACUGGAACUGAGACACGGUCCAGACUCCUACGGGAGCAGCAGUGGGGAAUUUUGGACAAUGGGCGAAGCCUGAUCCAGCAAUGCCGCGUGAGUGAU
rnacentral:rRNA from 1 species